CUCUGUAUAGAAGUGCUCUUAAUGGGCUCAGAGUUGCUGGGAGUAAAUUGUACUAUAAUAGAGAUCUGAAAAUUACUUUAAAGCAGUGUGUUUUCUGAUCAAUUUCUCUUUCUUAUUUACCUUAUUAUUGUAAACUGUUUAUGUACUAAUCAGUUCAUUUUAUUUAUGUAUGUGUGUGAUUUAUUAUCUUGAGUUUGAGUUUUUUAAAUAUAAAAGUGUCUGUGUUGUGU
rnacentral:lncRNA from 1 species